GGGGCGCCUGUGGGAGCCGUGGAGGGAACUUUCCCAGUCCCCGAGGCGGAUCCGGUGUUGCAUCCUUGGAGCGAGCUGAGAGCUCGAGUACAGAACCUGCUAAGGCCAUCAAACCUAUUGAUCGGAAGUCAGUCCAUCAGAUUUGCUCUGGGCCGGUGGUACCGAGUCUAAGCACUGCGGUGAAGGAGUUAGUAGAAAACAGUCUGGAUGCUGGUGCCACUAAUAUUGAGAUAGAGUUUCUCCAUGUUGGUCAGGCUGGUCUCGAACUACUGACCUCAGGUGAUCCGCUCGCUUUGGUCUCCCAAAGUGCUGGGAUUACAGGCAUGAACCACCGCGCCUGGCCCCCGUUCUCCUUACUGGAUCUAAAGCUUAAGGACUAUGGAGUGGAUCUCAUUGAAGUUUCAGGCAAUGGAUGUGGGGUAGAAGAAGAAAACUUCGAAGGCUUAACUCUGAAACAUCACACAUCUAAGAUUCAAGAGUUUGCCGACCUACCUCAGGUUGAAACUUUUGGCUUUCGGGGGGAAGCUCUGAGCUCACUUUGUGCACUGAGUGAUGUCACCAUUUCUACCUGCCAUGUAUCGGCGAAGGUUGGGACUCGACUGGUGUUUGAUCACUAUGGGAAAAUCAUCCAGAAAACCCCCUACCCCCACCCCAGAGGGAUGACAGUCAGUGUGAAGCAGUUAUUUUCUACGCUACCUGUGCACCAUAAAGAAUUUCAAAGGAAUAUUAAGAAGUGAGUGAGCGCUCAUGGGAUCUGGUUGUUUAGAAGCAUGCACCACCUCCCGCUUCACUCUCUCUGUCUCUCCUGCUCCACCAUGGCCAGAAACGUGCCUGCUUCCCCUUCGCCUUCUGCCGUGAUUGUCAGUUUCCUGAGGCCUCCCCAGCCAUGCUUCCUGUACAGCCUGCAGAACUGUGAGUCAAUUAAACCUGUUUUCUUCAUAAA
rnacentral:lncRNA from 1 species